rnacentral:lncRNA from 1 species
UGCAAUUGAUGUUGGAGGCAUGAUUCAACAAACAUCACCUGACGCUGGAUGGACUGAUCCAUCCACCCUACCAACUGUGCAACUAAAUUCAUGUUUCCUAGCUACAUGCAUUGAUCUACUGUCUGUGCCGUUGCUUGUCACACCAUUUCCAUAAUUAAGAAUCGGGAAACGAUCUAUCACUUCAUGGACAUGCACAAUGACUUGUAGAUUAAGAGAUUUUUUGGCGACAAGACCUACUUCUGCUUGGCCAGAUGUGAGUAUGAACAGCUCCCUGAAUUCUGCAACUAUUGGGAUUGGAUCAG